ensembl:lncRNA
AUGCUGGGGGACCCCCACGCUGUCAGCCUCCCAGAUCUUAAGGCGUACUUUCCGAUUCAUCUUUCUCCACUAGGAGGAGAGCUGGUAAUGGUAGCAAAAGUAGACCAGCAUCCAGAGGACAAAGAUGUCAAGGAGGAUGAUGGCGAGGAGGAAAGUGGUGAGGCAAAUGAUGGUGAGGAGGACAUAGACGGUAAGGAGGACAUAGACGGUGAGGAGGACACAGAUGGUGAGGACCUAGUUGGUGAGGAGGACAUACGUGGUGAAGGCAUAGAUGGUGAGGACAUAGAUGGUGAGGAGGGCAUUGAUGGUGGGAAAAUAGAUGGUGAGGAGGACAUAGAUGGUGAGGAAAUAGAUUGUGAGGAGGGCAUAGAUGGUGAGGACAUAGAUGGUGAGGAAAUAGAUGGUGAGGAGGGCAUCGAUGGUGGGAAAAUAGAUGGUGAGGAGGACAUAGAUGGUGAGGAAAUAGAUUGUGAGGAGGGCAUAGAUGGUGAGGACAUAAAUGGUGAGGAGGGCACAGAUGGUGAGGACAUAGAUGCUGAGGAGGUCAUAGAUGGUGAAGUCAUAGAUGGUGAGGAGGGCACAGAAGGUGAGGACAUAGAUGGUGAGGAGGGCACAGAUGAUGAGGACAUAGAUGGUGAGGAGGGCUUAGAUGGUGAGGACAUAGAUGGUGAGGAGGGCAUAGAUGGUGAGGAGGGCAUAGAUGGUGUGGAGGACGUAGAUGGUGAGGACAUAGAUGGUGAGGAAGUCAUAGAUGGUGAGGAGGUCACAGAGGGUGAGGACAUAGAUGGUGAGGACAUAGAUGGUGAGGAGGGCAUAGAUGGUGAGGUCAUAGAUGGUGAGGAGGUCACAGAGGGUGAGGACAUAGAUGGUGAGGAGGACAUAGAUGGUGAGGACAUAGAUGGUGGGGAGGACAUAGAUGGUGAGGGCAUAGAUGGUGAGGGCAUAGAUGGUGAGGACAUAGAUGGUGAGGAGGUCAUAGAUGGUGAGGUCAUAGAGGGUGAGAACAUAGAUGAUGAGGAGGUCAUAGAUGGUGAGGACAUAAAUGGUGAGGAGGGCAUAGAUGGUGAGGACACAGAUGGUGAGGAGGCCGAUAGUGAGGAGUCUGAUGGUGAGAGCAAUGAGACCCACGGCCUCCAGCUGGCUGUGAGCCAGAAAUGGUCUUUGGCCCCGCGCAGGCGCAAUCAGCUGGAGAUGGAGGCCAGCGGCUGCUCAACAGUAUUCAAUGGACCUAUUUAUUCUCCAUCUGCAACAUUCAGAUAACAUGCUCAUCAACAUGACUGCAGCUCACAAUUUUCUGAAUUUUACAGCCACUUCUCUCAGCCUCACUGUGAGUCUAGUGAACUAUGUACCAACGUAUGCAAUAAAUGCUCAAAAAUAUUUGCUAGAUAUCCCUGUUUUGUGCUGGUCAAUUAGAAGAAGAACAAAAUCAGAAGCUGCUAGCCACUCUGCUUUUUUAGGGAAGUAAAAAUCUCUCCAUAAAAAUUACUGAAAUGCCAUAGACAGAACUGUAUGUGGGUAUUAAUAAAGUCUCUGAAACAUUAGAGACGUCUCCUAGGCUGACGUCCAAACUUACUAGGAAGACUGUCC